rnacentral:rRNA from 1 species
UACGGAGGGUGCAAGUGUUGUCCGGAUUUAUUGGGCUUAAAGGGUGCGUAGGUGGCUUAUUAAGUCAGUGUUUAAAGUCUGCAGCUCAACUGUAGGAAUGGCAUUGAUACUGAUGAGCUUGAGUAAAGUUGAGGUAGACAGAAUUGAUGGUGUAGCGGUGAAAUGCAUAGAUAUCAUCAAGAAUACCGAUUGCGAAGGCAGUUUACUAAGCUUUAACUGACACUGAGGCACGAAAGUGUGGGGAUCAAACAGG